GGGACAGGAUUUUCCAUCUGCAGUAACAGAAGAUCCCAAUGACAGCUGGGCCUCUGUGAAGGCUGGGUCACUAUGGGGGACUCUUGAAGGACCCUCAGCUCCUUCAACAGUGGUCUGCCCUGGCCACUGAAAUCCCUACCUGGCCCUGGGUUUCCACUGAUCUCACAAGCUGCAAUGUUGCCCCUCAUGCCCAUGUCAUUGGUUGGCCCAGUGCUGCUCUGGGACCCUGGGACCUCAGGGGUGUAUGGUUUGCACCUUGCCACCACUGGCACCUGACCCUGCACGACCCUUUGUCCUGGGGGGCCUAUCCUGUGCACUGCCAGACAGGCAUGACUAGCUUCUGCCCACUAGGAGCCAGUAGCAAAUGUCCCUAAUUAUGACUAUUAAACUGAAGCUGCCUUCGAGACAGAAUCAUACCUGGCUGAGAAACUAAGGCCCUAGAAAGGAGAGAGACCAUAGAUGCUGAUUACAGGGUGGCCACACAACACCCCAGUGGUAACCAGAACUCAUGUGUGCAUGCUGUCCCCAUUUAAAAGACAAAGAAGGAGAGAGAGAGAGAGAGAGAGAGAGAGAGAGAGAGAGAGAGAGAGAGAGGAGAUUUAGCUGGGUGUGGUGGCACAUGCCUACAAUUCCAACCUUUGGGAGGUGAAGGCCUGAGGUUCAAGAAUUCAAGGCUAUCUUCAGCAGCAUAGAGAGUUUGAGGCUAGCCUGGCCUACAUAAAAUAAAAAAAGAAGAAGAAAAAACCCUAGGUCAUUCAUAAAUAUGACAUGCAGAAAAAACAGACACAUAGACCGGGAACUUUAGCGAAAAUGAAGAGGACAAGACACAUGUGCUGUGGGUGUCAAGUAGAUUCUAAGCUACAAAAUUUAAGACCGUUAUAUAUACAGAAGGAAAAGUCAAACAACCUGAUAAAAAGCCUGACAGUCUGUGGUGGUAGUGCUUCCGUUUCUGUGGGCAAUGGCAUCCCUGCUUUCCCAUACACAGAGCCUGCAGGCCCCCGACAGCUGUGCUUGUAGAACUGACAACCCACCGGCCAUUUGUAGUUGAACCUCAUCUCUCAUACCCAGCACAGCCUGCCAAGCAGCCCUGUUUUUCUACAGUGUCUCUGAGCUACUGCUUGGCCUUGAAAUCUCCAGGGGUCCUGCCUGGAGCUUGUGCACUAGGCAUGCCCCCACCACUACCCACCUCCCUUACCUGGGAGGACAGGGCUCUGGGCUGCAGGCCUCAUGGGACUCGGGGCGAGGCAAUCCCUGGCACUGAGUGUCAGGCAGAAUCUCUUCGUCAUCAUCCUCACCACGAGCCUGGGCACAGUACAGGAUUCUCCGUGCGAGCCCUCCCCCACAGCUCACACUACAGGCCGCCAGCUUGUAACGCCACCUGGGAAAAACUGGAGUUAGCGGGACCCAAAGGGCAACAUACCUUCCUCUCAUUUCUCCAACAGGAAAAAAUAGGUUGGAAAGGGCAUGGAGAGCUUUUGCCCCACCGGGAGGCUCAGUACAGUGGACAAAGUAUUUAAACCAGCCCACUUCACAGAAGGGGAAGCUGAGGGUAAACAGAGAUUGGGUCCAAAAGGCUGAAGGGGGAAAGUCAGGGUACCAAAGGGAACCUGCAAAGGUAUCUGUCUGUAGUGGAAGUCCUAGUGCUGUCCUCACCCUGGAACCUGCCACCAGCCCUGCAAACUUCCCUACCCACCAUGGUUGGCUCCGUUGCCCCAGACACUGCUCAUCACACUGUCUCAUUCAUUGUCCAUCACCCCCAUUGUCAGUUCCAGGACAUCUUUUUACUUUGUCAUUACUAUGUCCUCUGACUGCAGCUAGUGCCUGGGCAUAGCAGGUGUUCAGUAAAGAACGAGCAGUGAAUAAAUGUUCCAUCAACUUAUGUGCCUGACUGUGCCAGCUCACCGAGCAGGACAUGGGCCAGCCCAGCAGACCUCCCACCGGCUCGAGGGCUUGCUGGCCAAGUCACACAGCUCCUCCUGGACAGGCACCUUGAGGACAGAAUCCAUGCACAGAAAACGCAACUCCAUCAAACCUGUCCGGAAGAAGCAGGGAUGCUGUUGACCCAGUAGGUCAGCUUAGCAAGAACCACAGCCUUUGUUCCCUGGUCAGCUCCAAAGCCAAGGUCCAUCUGCAACUUUCCAGCUGUGUGCAUGUGAAUAACUGACUUAACCUCUCUGAUCCCCUGGUUUUCAUAUCAUGGAGGUGGCGCACAGUCCCACCAGAGGAGUCCACACAUGUGCAGCCUGAGGCCCUGGCUUGUCGCUGCCCGCAGGGGUUGGAGCCUCCUCUCCCAGAGCCGUGGUGUCCAGCUAAAAAGAACAAUGAGCAGCCUGGCUUGCCCCUUUCAGAGGCACUCUAAGUGUGUCCUCUGAUGGGGUGUUCCUCAAACAGCACCCUGAGAAGAACGGAGUCCUCAUUCUGGCCUACAGGAAGAUUACAACUUAUAUUUUUCAUUCUCCCAGCUAAGAAAGGACCCGGGAGUCCCAGCCACCCUUCUUCCCCAUCCACUCACCUGACCCCAGCCUGGAGAACAUGUGGUCCUGAAACAGGGCUCCAGCGUCGGCGGCAUCUCAUGUGUGAGGCAGGGACCUGCAGUUGCUGGGUUCUCCAGGUCACUCACUCUGGGCACACAUGUCACAUUCCCUGAGGCCCGGUCUUCACAGGUGGACACGCAAGGGCCAGGGUGUGACACCUCCGGUCUGAAGAUAACACAGGGCUGUCAUCAGGCCAUGCCUCUGCUGGCUAGUGGGAGGUGCAGCCUAACUCCUGAGGGUGGGUGGGGGUGGUGUCUAGGAUCCCCACUAAAAAGCAAAGCUCAGGGGCUUUCUCUGACGCACUGGUCCAUCACACCUCAGGUUUUCCUCAACAAGAACUCUGUGUUGGGAUGGUGAGAUGGCUCAGCGGGCAAAGGUAUCUGGCUCCAACCCCGCCAGUCUGAUCCCAGGGUCCCAUAAGGUGGAAGGAGAAAACUGAUGGCUGCAAGUUGUCCUCCGACCUCCAUGUCCUUCUUGCACCAUGGCUCACUCACACACGCACACAUACAAACACACACAUACACACACAAACACACACAUACACACACAAACACACACAUACACACACAAACACACACACAGAGCUGUAAUUUAAAGAUAAAAAAUAACUUUAUGCAUGCCAACCACAUACUCAACCUGUGGCUGGGGAUGGGAAGGCAGAGCCCUACUCAACUGCCUUGCAUAGGCAACAGUAAUCCCUCCACAACCAACCAACAACACACUUCAUGCCUGGUUGUAGAGGAUGAGAAACAAGCAGGUGCCAUGUGCAUUCACAGUACCAGUUGAGGGGUGACAAAUGGUUCACUGUAUGCCACCCAUGCAUGGUGGCUGCCUAGAGCACCAUGGUAUCAAGGAUGCUGAGGCUGGAUCAUGCCUCCACAAGUGUGGUGGUUUGAAUAGGAGUGGCCUCCAUAGACUCAUGUGUUUAAAUAUGUAGUCCAUAGGGAGUGGCACUGUUAGGAGGUGUGGCCUUGUUGGAGGAAGUAUGUCACUGUGGAGGUGGGCUUUGAGGUCUCCUAUGCUCAAGCUAUACCUAGGGCCACAGUUCACUUCCUGUUGAUUGUAGAUCAAGAUGUAGAACUCUCAGCUCCUUCUCCAGCACCAUGUCUACCUGCAUGCUGCCAUGCUUCCUCCAUGAUGAUAAUGGACUAAACCUCUGAACCUGUAAGCCAACCCCAACUGCUGUGGGAUGGUCUUUCUGUAUGCUAUGAAUAUGUGUUGCUACCAUUGGUUAAUAAAGAAGCUGCCUUGGCCUAUGGCAAGACAGGUUAUAGCCAGGCAGGAAAUCCAUGCCAAGAUACAGGGAGAAGAGAGACAGAGUUGGGGGAGAUGCUGCAAGUGCCUCCUGAGAAGCAAGAUGUAAUGGAAUGAGGUAAAGCCACGAAACAUGUGGUGAUGCAUAGAUGAGUGAGCUAGUUAGUAAUAAGCCCGGCCAUAGACCAAACCGUUUGUAAUUAAUAUGAAACCUCUGAGUGAUUAUUUUAUAAAAAUGGCUGCUUCCCCGGGUGGGAACAGGCGAGACCGAGAAACUUCAGUCUACACCCAAUUAAAUAUUUUUCUUUAUAAGAAUUGCCAUGGUCAUGGUGUCUCUUCACAGCAAGAAAACCCAAAGAGAGCAGCUAAGAGAAGGAUUGCAAUGCUGGCCAUGUGUGAGAGAAGAGGAAGGAGCCAGAGCCAUAGGUGGGCCACCAAUAAUCUCGGGCUCUCCCAUUGGACAGACAGCAAGCCUGAAUUCAGAAAAGGAGGCGACAGUCAUCCAGCCCGUUGGUGACAGGCAGACCAAUAAGCCAGGAUCAGUUCAGACAUGGAGGAUAUAAGACAGUUACAUGGUCACUGAAGGAGAGAUGACAAUGAUGAUUGGUGAUACGAGCUUUACAUUCACAGUUUUGUGCCAUCAUCACAGCCCUCAUCCCCACAUCACCCAGGUGUUAGAAAUAGAUGAGCAGCCCAGCACCUCUUGAAUAGUGAGGAAGCUGAUGUUCACAAGACCAGGCACCACCAUCUGUCACCAGGAUGGAGCCCUCAGGAAGAGAGGAACCUCUACAAGGGUGGAUCUCAGUGAAGGGACAAACCCUGCCAAGGAGCCUGCUGCACCAGCCUCAAUAUGCUCACCUGGUGGGACAGGGCUGGGAGUUGCAAUUUUCCACUUCUGCUGCUGGCUGCUGGGCUACCGCUUUGCACCGGGCUGGUGGCAGAGUCCUUAAGAAACCAUCUUGGACCUGCACACAGCGCACCAACCGCUCCCGAAGACCCCCACCACAGGACACGCUACAUGGGCUGAAGUCUCCAGCUGUCCAGCUAAGGAAGAAAGGGACAGAACAUCAGGCCUGGGGCCAGGUCUCCCAGUUGGCUCAGGGGCAUGGGAUGGAAGGCAAGCAGGUCUAUCUCGCUGAUCCUGAUGACACAUUUCCUCUGGUUUGGUCCAGGCCCUGUGUAUCCAAGUCACUGUUCUGAGACCAGCCUUGGAGACCUCUCCUAACAUACUUCUGAACCUGAGGCCAGGUAUUUUAUAGUGAUGGCUGGGGGCCUCCGUAGUCCCAUACUCAGCAAGAUAGCCUUGUCCUAACACAAUUCUGUUACCAGUUGGCAGAAGCCAGUAAAGGUCAGGUGCUGGCCCUACCACCGUUCUCCUUGGUAGGGUGGUCACCACCAUCUUGCACUGAGAACCUGAGCUCAGAGAGGCCUCAGAACAUCCAGACAAGGUGGCAGCGGAUGUGACCAGACUGCCUCUGUGACUGUGUGUACUCAAGUCUUGGUGUCCUCACUCACAGAAUGGGGACACCGACAGAGCCCAGCCCACAGAGUUGUAGCUAAAACUGAAAAAAACAACACGUAGAGAUGCUUUCCAGUCUGCUCAGGCCACAAGAGUCAUCACAAACCAGGUGGCUGGCCAGCUUGGUACUUACUACGGAGGGCAGGGGGCAGGGACACAGGGCUCUUGCCAUGCAGGUGGCUGUGGGCUCCCUUGGCACAGGGCAUUAUUCACCCCCUUUUGAGCUUGAUCUUGGCAGCUGUAGGUCACCCAGCGCAGCCCUGGAAGGGCAGAUCAAAGACUCAACCACCUCCACAUGAGGUCCAGCAGAGCCUUAGGCAAGCCUUGCCCUGGGCCUCACCUGCCCCACAGCUCACUGAGCAGGGUCCACGUAUAGCAGUCCAUACCCAAACGGCUUCCUGCUUCAGUUGAAAGUAGGUAAAGGUGAUGUCUGGGUGUGUAAGAUCCCCAUAUUCCUCCCUAUAUCGUCUGUACACCUACAUCAGGACAGAUGAGAGCUCAGGCCCUGAACAGGCACACCCUGGGAUCUCUGCCACACCCGCCUGUCCCAGAAGCAUUCCAGCACUUCAUUUCUCCAGUUCCCAUGUUCCCAGCAGGCCGACAGAACUUGAGUGUCAAGGAGCUUUGAGUAAUGUGGAGCAGAACAGGUAUGUACCAAAGAGGUAGUAGGUGUGGGUAGGGUAUUAUGGGAAUGUUAAUGAGGUGGGGGCAGUCUACAGCCAAGGAGGUCAGGAGUAGUGCCAGGGCAGAGAGUGGUACAGCAGAAGGGGUCCGGGCCGGGAUGGAAGGUGAAGGCUCAGGCCAUUUUAGCUUUGGUCCACUCUUGCAUGCCUUUCUUAGCAGAGCACGCAGGGAACACACACAGAGGAGGCACUUCUUUGAGAACAUCCCUACAUGAAACCUUUCAGGGCCUCAUGUGCUUCUGCCUCCCAAAGAAGAAGCAAGAGCCAUCCUCCAUCCCAAGAAGGGCCCCACAUGCCAGCUGGGACAGGGACUCCUUGCUUGGUCUAUGCCUCAUCUCAGAGGACUGCCCAUGGCCCAUCCUUCGGCUUCACCAUGCUUUCCUGGUUGCAGGGCAGUCCCUGAUUCCAGCAUAAAGUCUACCUUCUUUGAUUCUCAGACCUCUGAGGCCUUCUGCAUGCCCUGGAUACAGGCACAUUUUACACUGACUUGCAAUACACUAAUCCUGUGAGUGGUUCCUGCUGCAUUUCACCUUACAUAGAGCCCCACUUGUAGUAGGUUCCCAAAUAACUACUGCAAGGAUUGGUGAGUGAGUGGAAGAAUUACAGACAAACAAGCAGAUAUUCAGAGCCACCACUGAAGGCCUGCUGACUCCCCACCCUGUCCCCCCUAGCCUGGCUGAUCGGUGACCUGGAUCUCCAUGUCGUCCCGGACAGGUCCCCGGAUGUGAAUCUCUUCUAAGUGGGGCAGCCGGUCCUCAGUGAGAGUCACUCUGUACUCCACACGGCAGUCCUCCAGAAGGGAAGGGUAUAUGAUGCUAGGUGAGAUGCUGGUCUUCCCUGCCACAAUGUAGUGCCCCUGGAUCCUCACCGCUUUGAGAACAGGACCAUCAGCACUAUGGAGUAGUCACCAUCCCUCCUCAUAGGCCAGCAUUCUGUUUAGUGGGAUAGGGCCACUCUUGAAAGGACAGGGUUAAAGAUGGUAGCAAGACAAGGGGCAGGAGCAUCUCUGCCAACAGGGUCUAAUCCCCAAACCACAGCCUUAGCUCCUUCCAAGGUUCCAAACCUGCCCCUAAGGAACUGGUCCUUCUGGUGUCUCAGUCAGAUGGCAUCUUCAUUAACCAAACCCCUCCAUAGCAAUGCACACCUCUGGCACAUACAACCCACCCAGGAGGCUUUUCCACAGUGGUUGCUCCAUGCCUUUUUCUGGAAGCUGGUGAGGGUUGUGACCUCUGCCUUCACUGAGCAUGCUCACAUAAGGGUUCAGGCUCUAGGACCCAGGAUCAAAACCCCUUCCAUGGGGUCUAAGGUCAGAAGCUAGCCUCUGAGACAAAACAGAAGUCUCCCGGGACAGGAUCUUCAAAAGGAGUCCUCUGGAAAUUCUGACACUUAAAAGGUCAGAUUCCUGGCAUGGUCAUCCUCUGGGAAUAGGUUAUGCCCAGGUGCUGGAAAGCAGCAGUUCCUGGGGCCUGCAGCUGUCAAGCCUAGUCUCCUCUAUGCUUAGCUUCCAUAUUCCUUUUCAGGCAGUUUUAACCUGCAUCCUCCCACCCUUCACCCGCCCUGGGAAUAGCUUAGCUGUGAGUGCGGCAGCUCUUGACAGGGUCUGGGUGGUUGGGAGUCCCUUCCAUCUUGCAGUUGUAUCAGGGGUGAAGGCAUCUCAGAGACUAAGACAUAGAUCGCUAAGUGCAGGAAAGGGUCCUUCAGUCAUCUCACCCAAGUGUGUGAAGAGAGGCCUGCGGUUCACGAUGUGCACGCUGGUCAUGUUGGGAGUAACUGUCAGGAAUGUGACAUAUUCUAGGGAUAAGCAGAGCAAGAGGGCUGCUUGGUCUUCAUGGUCACCUAUACCACUGCCAAAGAAGACAAUCCUAGCUGGACAGAGACAUGAACAGUGUCAUAGGGCUCGUUUCAGUGGCAAUGAAUCCACAUCAUGGUAAGAGGUCAACGCCAGGCCAAGGGACCAUCUGAAGGGCCCUGCCAAGGCCAGGAGCAUAGACCAGAUCCAAGGCACAGCCAGAGAGGCAGGGCCCAAGUUCUCUGCUGAUCUUGCACUCAGUGCUGGCAAUUGACUUUUUACUUUUUUA